CGUAGCUCAGUUGGAUAGAGCGACCGCCUCCUAAGCGGUAGGUCGCAGGUUCAAUUCCUGUCG
rnacentral:tRNA from 1 species